UACAGAGGUCCCGAGCGUUGUUCGGAUUCACUGGGCGUAAAGGGUGCGUAGGUGGUUGGUGCAAGUCUGAUGUGAAAGCCCCGGGCCCAACCCGGGAACGGCAUCGGAAACUGCCCGGCUAUAGAGGGUUGGAGGGGGGACUGGAAUUCCCGGUGUAGCAGUGAAAUGCGUAGAUAUCGGGAGGAACGCCAGUGGCGAAGGCGAGUCCCUGGACAACACCUGACACUGAGGCACGAAAGCUUGGGGAGCAAACAGG
rnacentral:rRNA from 1 species